ACUUCAGAGUUUCAGCAAGUAAGGCAACUGCAAGACCCUCAUUCUGCCGGGAAGCUUCUGAUUAGGGCCCUAAACCACCAUCCUUUUCACAUCUGCAAGGACACUAGAGGCAACACCCAGGGUCACUCUGAGAGGGCCUGAACCUGCUUUAUUAACAGGAUCGAGGGUCAGAUACAACAAAGAGAGGACAAUACUGGCACUAGACUGAAAAGAUUCAUGGAACACAGUGGAAAGUCCAGAAAGAGAGCCACGUGACCGAAGUAAGUCGUGAUGCAGGAAAUGAGUGCGUUUCACAGCUUGCUGAGCCCCUACUCGACCCAGGAAGCCCAGCUGGCCCCUCCUCUCAACAGGAGUGAGAAUCAGGAAGCCUCUGAUUAGGGCCCUGAACCAAGUUCCUUUUCGCAUCUGCAGACUCAUGGAGGCAACCACUCAAGGUCACUCUGAGAAGGGUUGAACGUGCUUUAUUAAAAGGACUGAGGAUCAUGUGUGUUGGUGUGUCCCGGAGUCUGCUCUAAGUAUCAUACUUCCCUGGGCUGAUUCCUGAUUCCAACACAACGCUGGAGGUGUAGGAGUCAUAGUACAGAAGACGCUGUGGGGCCUUCCCCUCCUGGUGUAGGUACCAGUGGAUGUAGCCGGUACUUCCUUCAGCAAGAUCACAAGUGAUUUCAGCAGAUGACCCAGUCUGCCUGAUGACUGACUUCGUUCUCCCUUCCAAGUUGGAAGAUUUCUGACUGGCUGCAAUGGGAACAACACAAAAUAUAAUGAGGAAUUCCUUAGUAUGGCAAUCCUUGCAAAAGAAGAAAAUAAAGAAAA
rnacentral:lncRNA from 10 species